ensembl:antisense Gm42765 predicted gene 42765
GAAAGAGUGAAAAGCUCAUUGUAGUAGAAAGAUAGAAGUCGAAGAAGCCCGGAAAGAAGAGAUGAGGACUGGAGAGCUGGCCGAGCCGGCAAGUGUCUGCAGAGCAAGCAUGAGCGAUUGAGUUUGUCUCAGAAGCCAGACAUGGUGGCGUGUGCUUGUAAUCCCAGCUCUGGGGAGAUGGAGACAGGCAGAUCCCUGGAGCUUGCUGGACAGCUAGCCCAUACCUAUGGGUUUCUUUCUUCAAAAUAAAACAGAACACAUGCCUUUACUCUCCCUUUAGUAGUGGGAACAAACAUGAGUGGUGCUCUUGUUCCCCACGUUGACUGGAUGUUCCAUGCACUUUGCUUUCCUGAUUUAAUCUUGAAAUUUUGAACAUCAUCAUACUUCUAAGGUUCUCCAUGGAGGCUCCAGCUACUCAAGACAGCAUCCUUCUGGUGGGUGAAUCAGCACCAAUGUUUCCUGAGCCAUCAUGAUGCAAGUAGAAUGACCAAGUCAGCCUGACUUCUUCAUUUUGAACCACAGCCUCAGUUGAGCACCUUGAUCAUUUGAAGUCCUUAUUCAUAUCUUCAGCUGCUUCUCGGCCUAUGAUCUCCUCCAGCUGGGGUGUCACUUUUACUGAAGUAGCAGGACCUUCUUCAGUAUCAUCAUGCCAUGUUGGAGUUUCUGUCCCCCCGACCCAAUCCUGUCCAUCUUAUCUGAAGUUGUGCAAGUCUAGAGACAGAUGUAGAGUGGGCACUGAGCCACUACAUCUUCCACUAUGUCUUCAUUAGGCAUGGUAUCCAACACCCCCUACCUAACCUAUUCCACUUCUCCAUGGUCCCAAAGGUCCCUUUUGGCAGGAGCUACCCAAAGUGAGGUAUGGCUCCUUGUGCUCAGGAAUGGAGCCAUCAGUCAGGGUGGGUCAGAAAGAGCUUCAAGAGAAGCUUGUGAGACAGGUUUGAUCUCAUGCACAGCUUUCCCUAGCCACAUUUGGACAACUGAAGUUGCGCCUUUUCCAUGAGGAAGUGUUAUCAAACUUGGGGGUCACUUACUAUGCUCCAAGCUAGGUUUGGCCACCCACCACCCUUCAUAAGCCAAUUAAAGGAACCAAAUUAAUAGUGGAAAGCAGAAAAAGAUUUAUUCAACACAACCCCAUUGGGAAGAGGGACAAAGGGAUCCAGCCACUGUCCAAGUCAUUUUCAGCAAGGUUAAAGUUCAGAUAGAGAGCCAAGGAUAUUCAUAUAUGUAUGUCUGUCUUAGUCAGGGUUUCUAUUCCUGCACAAACAUCAUGACCAAGAAGCAAGUUGGGGAGGAAAGGGUUUAUUCAGCUUACACUUCCAUACUGCUGUUCAUCACCAAAUAAGUCAGGACUGGAACUCAAGCAUGUUAGAGAGCAGGAGUGAUGCAGAAGCCAUGGAGGGAUGUUCUUUACUGGCUUGUUCAGCCUGCUCUCUUACAGAACCAAGACUACCAGCCCAGAGAUGGUCCCACCCACAAGGGGCCUUUCCCCCUUGAUCACUAAUUGAGAAAAUGCCUGNNNNNNNNNNNNNNNNNNNNNNNNNNNNNNNNNNNAGCUCCUUUCUCUGUGAUAACUCCAGCUGUGUCAAGUUGACACAAAACUAGCCAAUACAAUGUCUAAGCAGUACCAGUCAAGGUGGAGUCCCAUCUCUCUGACCUAUCAUUAUCUGGGACUCAGUCUCAUUCUGUAAGGUGGUUUGACAAGUGGUUAGAACUGUGUGAAACCUCUCUCAGGAAGACAUGUUCCCCUGAUGGCUGGUACCUUUUCCUUCUCUGAGCAUGAGACUCCUGGAGAAAUUCCCAUUCUUUGGGAUCCUUUGUUUGAAUAGUCUGAUACAUUGAGAUGCAUGGUGUCUCAUUAGAAUAUCUUCAUUUCUGUCAGGCCAGUUACAUAAAGACAUUGUAUUAGUUGCUUUUCUCAUUGCUCUGACAGAACACCUAACAGAAAUAACUUCUGAGAGGAAGGGCUUGUUUAGGUCGUGUUUCAGAGGGGUACAGCCCUUCCUGGUGAGGAUGAACACAGUGGGUGGGGCAGCUGAGAUGUUGAGUCUGUAGUCCCGGGGACUAAUGGGAUGGUCUAUUAAAUCCUAGUGGAUCAGGAAGCAAAGAGGUCUGGAAACAGAAGUUUCCAUAACCCUACAACCCUCCAUUUGUCGGUGAGGCCCCACCCCCUAAAGGUUCCAUAACCUCCAGAAAUAGUAUCAGUGUCAGCAGCAGGAGGUCGAGUGUUCAAACACAGGAGCCUGCUGCUGGCACAUUUACAUUCAAGUCAUAAUGCUCACCUCUGAUGGGGAGGGAAGCAGGCUGGGAAGAGGAUGUGAACAGCUGCCACCUCAAGACCUGGCUGGUCAGUUUAGGUGGGAGGGGGCCCUCAGGAUGGCUUGUAUCCAAGAACCUCGUUCUCAGGAGGCUAACCCAAAGCAAAGGAAAACUGGGGGAAGGACGCUUGGGGGAAAAUAGGUGUGCCAUCCAUAUUCCCUCUCCCUGAGUCCUCACCACCAUCAUCACAAGCACCCAACAGGCUAAGUAUCCACAGCAGGGUCUGGUAUUAAAUUAUAGUUCAUGAAAGUAAAGGAAAGACUCAGAGUCAUUGAGGAAGGAUGGGUGGCUUUCUAUACACUUCCUAUAAAACUGUCAAAGAGGACAAGCUUAAAAACAAACAAACAAAAAGAGACAAAAAGUACAGAACAAAAUGAACAGGAUGCAGGCCCAGGAAGCAAUGAGGAUGUAAGUGGGUGAGCGGUUAUGAAGGUGUGUGUAUGGACCGUUCUCUCGGGAGUCUGGAUGAUACACUGCCGGUGAGCAGGAGCUGAGUCAGGGGGAAGGGCCCGUGGAGAGAGUGCGGGCAUUUGCUUUGCAUUUAGAACUUCAAAUUUCGUCCUGUUUGGAUUCUCUAGUCAUGUUUCAAUGUUGCUUCUUUUCCUCUUGUUUUCUGUUUUAUGCAUACAUUACUUCUUAGAAACUAUCAGUUAGGGAUUAGGUAAGUCGUAGGAUACAGCUCACUUGGCGUUUCCUCUAUGUAAAAAACUGAGUUCCGUGUGACUCAGUGCGAGAGUCCUUGGCUAGCACAUAUGAAACCCUAGCUUUUGUUGCCAGUGUAGAAAAAAAAGUAAAUAAGUAGUAUUUUUAAAAGG